AAGGAGUAAAAGAAGAUUGGGUUCUUUUUCUUUUUUCUUUGUCUUUCUCUCUUUUUUUUCCUUUUUCCUUCUCAGGUUCUUCCUUUUUCUUAACUUCUUUAAAAAAGGUG
rnacentral:ribozyme from 13 species